AGAAAGUCUUGCACAUAAGCUCAGCUGGUUAGAGCUUGGCUCUGAUAAUGCCAAGGUUGCAGGUUGGAUUCCUGCCAAUUCCU